rnacentral:tRNA from 1 species
AGUGUACGUAAUUUAAAAAAAAUAUCAAGUUG